rnacentral:misc_RNA from 1 species
GUCCUUGAAAUGUGUAGGAUGGCGGCUGACAGGACGUCCACACAAAUCGGCUGAUUCUGGCCGUUUUUCAGCGUGAUAUCGUCAAAUUUUCAUGUCUGUCUGUUGACUCAUCUAUCCAACCAAAUUAUAAAUAGUAACCAAUCCAUGUUAAUUAGUUGCAUACAUUGACUUUGAUGAAUAAUUGUACAAUUCAAUUAUUUAAGCAUUAAAUAAUAAUUUAACACGAUUGAAUAAGCCGUUUUAGCCUUUUGGAAUAAUCUUGGUGAACAACAUUCAUUUUUGAAACUGCUUAUAGUAGAAACUGCAUACAUUUAUUGAAAGGUCAUAAAUAUUUGGAAUAAUUUUGAACGUUAACUUCCGGACUCAUGUGAUGUUAUUUUGACGCAGAAGUUUCACCCGAAAUGGACAAGUUGUAUCGGUCAAGAAAACAUCGAGUGGUGUAUCCUGAUGUAACAUUGAAAAAGAAUCCUGCUGUUCUUAACUGGUGUCCUACAAAUCGCCGAGAAAAUAUAAAAAAUAAAGAUUUCAGCCUCGAGGCUAUGCAAAUAACAAAAUAUGCUAUCGAUAGAACUGACAUUGAAUCAAAAGAUACAUCAUACUAUUCAGUUUCGACUUCAACACAAUGCCAGCAGUCUGAAACCACAUUCUCAGCUAAUGAUAGUGAACUUAACAAGAGAGAAUCGGAUGAUCAACAGCAACUAGUUCAAAGACGUUUACAGAUCUAUGCGCAAGCGUUUGCGGAGAGAGCAGCACGCAUGCGUAACAGACUAGAAUUCCCACCAACGCCUUCAACUGUCAGUAGUGAUCCAGAAGAAGGCAAUAGCAUCUAUCCAUCUCCACUGCGAAAGCGCGACCAGAUUGUUCGAUGGUUUUCCCAGGAAUGGGGUUCGACAAUAUCGGUUUGUGAAUCGGUGCGGGCCAGGUUCAGAACAUGUCGAACCGUCUGUGAGCCUCAGAGUUAUUUCUAUGUUACUUGGCUGACGUUGGUAACGUUUUCCUACCUCUAUAACUGUUGGGUUAUUCCACUGAGGAUAACGUUUCCCUACCAGACCGAGGAUAAUAUGCACACCUGGCUGAUACUGGACUGCUCGAUGGACGCCAUCUACUUCCUGGAUCUGAUGGUAGUCAAGCCGAGAAUAAUGUACAUCGAUCAAGGCUUCUGGGUUCACGACCCCAAGCUCACCAGGAGCAAUUACAUGAAGAAAUUGCAAUUUAAGAUGGAUAUGCUCUCUCUCAUUCCAAUAGACAUGCUGUACGUCUCUCUCCGUGAGAUGAAUGCUCUUUUUAGACUUCCAAGGUUAUUGAAGCUUUCUACAUUUUGGGAAUUUUUCAACCACUUUGAUAAUGUAUUAUCCUCGCCUUACAUAGUUAGGGUGGCCAGAACAUUGACUUACAUGAUCUACCUGGUCCACUUGAAUGCAUGUGCCUACUACGCUGUGUCAGUGAAGGAGGGACUCGGCACCAACAAGUGGGUCUUCAAUGGAGAAGGAAAUGCUUAUAUUCGUUGUUUCUACUUUGCUACCAAAACUGCAACAUCCAUUGGGAAAAAUCCGAGGCCAGAAAAUGAGCUAGAAUACCUUUUCAUGACUGCCUGCUGGUUGAUGGGUGUUUUUGUAUUUGCUCUCCUCAUUGGCCAGAUAAGAGAUAUAAUAGCGAACGCAACUCGGUUGCAGACUGAGUACCGCAAACGAGUCGACGAUGCAAUGGACCACAUGCGCCGCAUGAAUCUUCCACCCAAAGUCAUAGAACGCGUAAAGACCUGGUUCUCUUUCACUUGGGAACAGCAGCAUACGUUAGAUGAAAGUCGAAUUUUGGACUCGUUGCCUGACAAAAUGAAAACUGAUGUGGCCAUCAACGUACAUUUUCACACAUUGAACAAAGUGCAACUAUUCAAGGAUUGUGAUGAAGCACUUUUGAGGGACCUUGUGUUGAAACUGCGACCUGUCCUUUAUCUGCCUGGAGAUUAUAUUUGUAAGAAGGGUGAGGUCGGUAGGGAAAUGUACAUAGUGAAAACAGGGCAGGUUCAAGUUGUUUCUGGCGAAGAUGGAUCGGAAGUGCUGGCCACUCUCACCGAAGGCUCUGUUUUUGGCGAAAUCAGCUUACUCUCACUUUCUGGAGAUAAUCGGCGUACUGCUGAUGUCAGAUCUCCUGGUUUUUCGAAUCUGUUUGUAUUGAGCAAGAGUGAUCUGAAUGAAGCACUUGUUUUCUAUCCACAUGCUCAAGAAAUUCUCAAGAGGAAAGCCAAGCAAAUUAUGAAGCAGAACGAAGCUAGAGAGAAGACUCAAAGUAAGCCCUUGCGAGGAAAAUCCGGUCUGGACAAUGCUAGACUAUUUGAUAGAGAUAUUGGAAUCCGUAACAAGUCUGGAUCGAAGCGUACUCGCUCUUCUAGAUUCUGUAGAGGUAGUCAAAGUGUCAGAAUAAAGAAUAAGCUCAACAAGCGAAGCAAUUCGUUUGACUUGGGAAAACUGAGAUCUCACUCUGUGGAGGAUGAUGAAUCAAAAGUAGAAAAUACUUUCCAAUGCGAUGUCACUGUCCACAGAGAAAGAGAGUGAAUUCUAAAUACUAUGACCAAAAUCUCCCUGUAUCAAUGGACCAGUAAAAAUACAGUAUUGAAUAAAAUAAGUUACCAUGUAGGAUGUAGCUAGUCAUUCACUAUUACGGUCCCUUCAAACUUGUGUUUAACAAGAUACAAAUCACUCAAAUAAGCUUCAGAGAACUUCGAAGAAGAAGAAGAAGAAGAAGAAGAAGAAGAAGAAGAAGAAGAAGAGUAAGUAGCACCCCAAGGCAUUUCGCAAUAAUAAUUAUCAACAUCGAGCUGUCAUCACGUCUUCACUUGGCCUGAGGUGAUUGAACCAAUAUUUUCAUGUCCAUUUGACGUUCAGCGAAUACAGAAAAAUUUUUUCAUGAUUAUUUGAUGAAAGACGAAUACAGACAAAUAUUUUCAUUGUUAUUUAAUUUAAUGAAUAACGAAAACUCACUCAUUUGUAUUUUUACUGUAUCGCAUUGUAAUUUUCGUUACGUGGAAGAAUACUGCAUUUUUGUAGUUUCCCAAUACAAAUGUCAUAAUGCAAUAAAAAUAAUACAUAUAAUGAAUCAUUACUUUGGAAGCUGUUUUUGAUGUGAUCAAGGAUACAAAAAAUAGAAGUCUUGCAAAACGGAUAAAGUUGACUUUCAUCACACCCUAGACAAACAUAGAAGGCGUAUAUGCAAUAAUUAUAAAUAGGGCUUGAAUAAUUAUAAUGUAUGCACAUAAAUUAUUGACAACUGCUUCCAUUUUUUAAGACUUCUCAAUUCUAGUUAAACAUACCAGUAAUAUGUUUUCUAAUAUCUUAGUACCGUAAUAUUUUUUUGAUCAGGAGGUGAUUGAAAAUAGUAGACAAUCAAUAGGUACGGUACGCUAAGCACUGUAGGUGCAAAUGCUAAUUUGAAAUCAGCACUCGAUUAUUUUUAUAAAAUGUUUGAUAUUAUGCUGUCAAAAUUUAUUUCUAUUAUUAUUAUUUGAGAUGAAAUUCAUAAAAUGUUUAGAUAUGGAUUUCAGAUUAGUGAUAACUUAAAUGUAUAAAAUAGCAUUGGAUCAUCACCUGCAUUCAUUUUCCAAUUGAAAUCCCAAUUCUCAAUUAGUGCAAUUUUAAUUCCCCAAUAUUAUGCAAAAAAAUGUGCGUUACAACAUCUAUUUCAACGUUACAAAUAAUGUUUUAGAUUGACAUUUAUAUUUAACUUCCAACAAGAGUUGAAUUCCAGGAAAUUUUACCCCUGGUAUAUUAUAGGCCUCUAAGAUGAUGGUAAAUUUCAAUGAUCAUUGACUUAACAGUCACUAAUUUCAAAUGAUAAUCUAGUUUAUCUACAUAAAAUGCUUACCUACAUGAUUUCUCGAAUAAUAAUAACGCAAGGUAUAUACUCAAAUUAAAAAAAAAAAACAUUUUUGUUUUUGUAUACUGCAAUUCAUUUUAAAAUUCAAUUGAAAAUAGAAUCCAAGUUUUGUUUAACUUGUUCUAUACUUGUUUGUUUGAUAAAUAGUAAAUACUAGAACUCGAAACUAAAUUCUUUAAUCCAGCCCAAGGGAUACUUUCUUGUAAGCUAUUUCCAGCCACACUUUCCAGUAACUGAGCAAUUCUUUGUUGAGGAAUAUUCCAAGAGACUGCAAACUUUCUCUUUCUUAUAAAUGUAGGAAAUAGAAAUAAAUUCACUUCAUUGAUAAUCACAAACGAUUUUGAUAACCUUCAACAACAGCCUUCUAGUAUUAGGUAACUGUUUGCCAGAUAGUUCGUUAUUAUCGUCAAUCCAAUCAAUAAUAUAAUGUUACAUCUCUGAUGAAUGUUAUGCAUUUUUGUGUAAUGAAUCAUAAUAAUUCACAAUUUGGUUUCCGGGUUUACAAGUUUUAUAAUAAAUCUAAUAAAUUUAUUUCAUAUUCUAUAAUUAUGAGUAUUAAUGAUUAUUAGUAGCUUAGUAGACGAUUUGAGAAUGAUGGAAAAAACGCUUUCAAUUUAUUUAUUCAUUUGAUUUAUUGUAGUACCUCAACAAUAUUAUAAUAACAGCAUAUUUGGUGAAAUCCAUACAUUGUUUUUACUGUCAACAAAAAUUGAGAGUCAAAAACAAAUUUAUGUUUUUUAUUCUGCUUUUUGACACAGUAACUAUUUUAAAUUGAAUAAAA